AGGCUCGUAGCUCAACCGGUAGAGCGGCGGUCUCCAAAACCGCAGGUUGGGGGUUCGAGUCCCUCCUGGCCUGCCA
rnacentral:tRNA from 1 species